GAUGAACGCUGGCGGCGUGCCUAACACAUGCAAGUCGAACGAAGCACCUUACCUGAUUCUUCGGAUGAAAGUUUGGUGACUGAGUGGCGGACGGGUGAGUAACGCGUGGGUAACCUGCCCUGUACAGGGGGAUAACAGCUGGAAACGGCUGCUAAUACCGCAUAUGCGCACGAGGAGACAUCUCCUCGUGUGAAAAACUCCGGUGGUACAGGAUGGGCCCGAGUCUGAUUAGCUGGUUGGCAGGGUAACGGCCUACCAAGGCAACGAUCAGUAGCCGGUCUGAGAGAAUGAGCGGCCACAUUGGAACUGAGACACGGUCCAAACUCCUACGGGAGGCAGCAGUGGGGGAUAUUGCACAAUGGGGGAAACCCUGAUGCAGCAACGCCGCGUGAGUGAAGAAGUAUUUCGGUAUGUAAAGCUCUAUCAGCAGGGAAGAUGAUGACGGUACCUGACAAAGAAGCUCCGGCUAAAUACGUG
rnacentral:rRNA from 1 species